UCCACGGUGGUUUAGUGGUUGGGACGUCCGCCUCACACCUCCAGGGUCGGGGGUUCGAGUCCCGCCGUGGCC